rnacentral:rRNA from 1 species
GAUGAACGCUGGCGGCGUGCUUAACACAUGCAAGUCGAACGGGAUCCAAGGGGUGCUUGCACUUUUUGGUGAGAGUGGCGAACGGGUGAGUAACACGUGAGUAACCUGUCCUUUUCUUUGGGAUAAGCAUUCGAAAGGGUGUUUAAUACCUUAUGUUCUGUCUGCCUCGCAUGGGGUGGGUGGGAAAGGCUUUGGCCGGAUUUGGGUGGGCUCGCGGUCUAUCAGCUUGUUGGUGGGGUGAUGGCUUACCAAGGCUUUGACGGGUAGCCGGCCUGAGAGGGUGGUCGGUCACAUUGGGACUGAGAUACGGCCCAGACUCCUGCGGGAGGCAGCAGUGGGGGAUAUUGCACAAUGGGCGAAAGCCUGAUGCAGCGACGCCGCGUGGGGGAUGAAGGCCUGCGGGUUGUAAACUUCUUUUGCUCUGAACAAGGCAUGCCAGUGGGUGUGUUGAGUGUAGGGGUUGAUGAGCGCCGGCUAACUACGUG